UACGAAGGGUGCAAGCGUUACUCGGAAUUACUGGGCGUAAAGCGUGCGUAGGUGGUUUGUUAAGUCUGAUGUGAAAGCCCUGGGCUCAACCUGGGAAUUGCAUUGGAUACUGGCAGGCUAGAGUGCGGUAGAGGGUAGUGGAAUUCCCGGUGUAGCAGUGAAAUGCGUAGAGAUCGGGAGGAACAUCUGUGGCGAAGGCGACUACCUGGACCAGCACUGACACUGAGGCACGAAAAGCGUGGGGGAGCAAAACAGG
rnacentral:rRNA from 1 species